CUGGCUCACAAAUUCAUCCUGUUGCUGACAACAUGUGCAGGUGGAAUGCCGCCUGCCUGGAGCUGAAUGACAGCGACAAGUGCUCCACAGGAAGCAAAGUUAGAGCUGCAAAAAGUAACACAGUGAUGAACGCAGGCGGCUCAGAGGAGGAUUCAUGUCUGGGAACCAGCAGGCAGCAACCUGGCCGCGGCAAACAGUCUAACUGAUUGUGAGGACCACUGAUGAAACUAGAUGAGGGUUACUUGCUCAGAUAAUGGACACUCCUGAAUGCAAAGUGCAUGGCAAGCAAG